rnacentral:lncRNA from 1 species
GACAACCACUAGUAAAUCGGAUUACUUACUACCCUUAGAUUGCAUGUGCUGACUUCAAAAUCCAAUAACUCCUUUACUUCAACUUAUAAUCCAGUAAGCAGUAUGUGAAAAGUGUAGCCGCAAAAGUGUUCUCUUCAAUCGCAGUCGCCAAUCUUCAAUUGCUAUUCGUAUGUGUGCGUUAUGCCAAAAAGAGUGACAGUAGCUCCCAAAUCAAAACCUUAACUUUGAGCGCUUGUAUCUUCUUUAUAUAAACUCCAAACCAUACAAAACUUAUACCAAAACCAUAGCCAAAAA